UACAGAGGAUGCAAGCGUUAUCCGGAAUGAUUGGGCGUAAAGCGUCUGUAGGUGGCUUUUUAAGUCCGCCGUCAAAUCCCAGGGCUCAACUCUGGACAGGCGGUGGAAACUACCAAGCUGGAGUACGGUAGGGGCAGAGGGAAUUUCCGGUGGAGCGGUGAAAUGCGCAGAUAUCGGGAGGAACACCGGUGGCGAAGGCGGGUCUCUGGGCCGUUACUGACGCUGAGGAGCGAAAGCGUGGGGAGCGAACAGG
rnacentral:rRNA from 1 species